rnacentral:lncRNA from 1 species
CCGGGACCGGUCUGUGCUCAGAGCCCUCAGAUGCAUCCGCCUCACCUAAAGCAAAUGCAGAAGACCCAAGCCCUGGGUGGAGGCGGGUAACCUCCAGACUCGCUCCCGGGCUGGAGGAAAUCCGGUGCCCCUCUGCGGAUAGAGGCAGUCCUAGACCGCCUCACUGGACAAGAGCUGCAGCCUCUGCCACCGUGCCAGCUCUUCCACAAGAAGCUUAGCUUGCUCUCGAAGUGGCUCUUGAAGCUGUUUAUUGGAUUGUGCAGUUAUCGCCCAUUCGUGGAACAGUUGACAAGGACAUUCAAAUAAUUAUCAGAUGCUUGUAUGAAUGAACGUAUUUACACUUCGUGAAAGAGUCCAAGCUUCUGGGAGGAGGAAACGUGGAUUCUGUGACAGU